ensembl:lncRNA
AUGUUCCACUUCCUUAUUCACCCAUUAUUAGAGUCUCAUUCAGUCUCUUUUCUCACACUCGCUGUAAUGGAGCUGUUCAUCUUCAUAGUUUUUCAGCUCCUGAUGGAGGUUCAGUCUUACAGAUUUCCUAGAGUAAAAGUAUCUCCAGAUGUCAUAAGUAAGUCCAGCUCAGUGAAGAUCAGCUGUGAGACAGAACCACGUGUUACAGUGAAUACAUGUUAUUUCUACAUAAACAGAGAGGAGAAGAAAAUGAAAACCAGUCCAUCAUGUGAGCUCGAGCUCACUGGUGCUGAAGUGCUCAGAUGGGCAGCUGUAAAAUCACCUGAAUCACUCACCAUUAUCUGUUACUACACAAUGAAUGAGCGAGGCUCAUCCAUAACAUCAUCUGAUUCUGAUCCUGCCACAGUGACAGUUCUUGGUGAGAUAUUUCACUGCUGGUCUUCUGUAUUAGAAAUGUUUUUCCAGUGUUUUUACUAAUCAUGGAUCAUUUUACGUCAUACAGAUUCACUUGAUAAACUCAUCAUCAGAUAGUAAUGAUGAUGUUACACCUAUAGGGCACUUCUGAAUGGAUUGGAUAAUAUUUGUAAAGACCCUUUCAAUAGAUUGUAUAGUAAAUUAAUUAAAUUUAUGCAUUUAGCAGACGCUUUUAUCCAAAGCGACUUAAAGUGCAUUCAGGCUAUCAAUUUUUACCUAUCAUGUGUUCCCGGGGAAUCGAACCCCCAACCUUGCGCUUGUUAACGCAAUGCUCUAUCACUUGAGCUACAGGAGCACUUGUACCUAUAGUACAAAUUAAGAUACUGUCCCAGUGACAAGUUGUUGUACCAGUGAUGCGCGGGUCAAUGUAUAAACAACCCGCACCCGACCGACGUUUUCAACUAACCCGCCCGCAACUCGGACCGCAAAAAAAGAAAAAAGAAAAUAUUGUACCCUACCCGCUUUUUUUAAAAGUAGUAAAUGCUCAUCGUAGUGCAGGGGCGU